GUACUCGCUUCAGUGAUACAUAUACUAAAAUUGGAAUGAUACAGAGAAGAUUAGCAUAGCCCCUGUGCAAGGAUGACAUGCAACAUCGUGAAGUGUUCCAUAUUUUU